rnacentral:rRNA from 1 species
GCGAUCAUGCUAGUACUAAUACACCCGAUCCCAUCAGAACUCCGAAGUUAGGCGUGCUUGGACGAGAGCAGUACUAGGAUGGGUGACCCCUUGGGAAGUCCUCGUGUUGCACCU